UAGCGGCGGACGGGUGAGUAACACGUGGGUAACCUGCCUGUAAGACUGGGAUAACUCCGGGAAACCGGGGCUAAUACCGGAUGGUUGUUUGAACCGCAUGGUUCAAACAUAAAAGGUGGCUUCGGCUACCACUUACAGAUGGACCCGCGGCGCAUUAGCUAGUUGGUGAGGUAACGGCUCACCAAGGCAACGAUGCGUAGCCGACCUGAGAGGGUGAUCGGCCACACUGGGACUGAGACACGGCCCAGACUCCUACGGGAGGCAGCAGUAGGGAAUCUUCCGCAAUGGACGAAAGUCUGACGGAGCAACGCCGCGUGAGUGAUGAAGGUUUUCGGAUCGUAAAGCUCUGUUGUUAGGGAAGAACAAGUACCGUUCGAAUAGGGCGGUACCUUGACGGUACCUAACCAGAAAGCCACGGCUAACUACGUGCCAGCAGCCGCGGUAAUACGUAGGUGGCAAGCGUUGUCCGGAAUUAUUGGGCGUAAAGGGCUCGCAGGCGGUUUCUUAAGUCUGAUGUGAAAGCCCCCGGCUCAACCGGGGAGGGUCAUUGGAAACUGGGGAACUUGAGUGCAGAAGAGGAGAGUGGAAUUCCACGUGUAGCGGUGAAAUGCGUAGAGAUGUGGAGGAACACCAGUGGCGAAGGCGACUCUCUGGUCUGUAACUGACGCUG
rnacentral:rRNA from 1 species